rnacentral:rRNA from 1 species
GACGAACGCUGGCGGCGUGCUUAACACAUGCAAGUCGAGCGGUAAGGCCCCUUCGGGGGUACACGAGCGGCGAACGGGUGAGUAACACGUGGGUGACCUGCCCUUAGCUCUGGGAUAAGCCUGGGAAACUGGGUCUAAUACCGGAUAUGACUCCAUGACGCAUGUUGUGGGGUGGAAAGCCUUGUGCGGCUAGGGAUGGGCCCGCGGCCUAUCAGCUUGUUGGUGGGGUGAUGGCCUACCAAGGCGACGACGGGUAGCCGGCCUGAGAGGGCGACCGGCCACACUGGGACUGAGACACGGCCCAGACUCCUACGGGAGGCAGCAGUGGGGAAUCUUGCGCAAUGGGCGAAAGCCUGACGCAGCGACGCCGCGUGA